AAACAAUAUAAAAUUUAUCCUUCAUGAUUUCUAUGGUCUGUUAGUUCACUGAUGAAGCUGCUGGAACGAAGAAGCUGGAAUGAAGUUAAACCAGAUACCCCAUCUUCAAGCCUUGAACAUGUAAUCUCUGGCCCAGAAACCAAAGCUCUGACCACUAUGUAUUUAAUCUAUAUGGGUUCUUAGGGUGAGGCAUGCCAGUGGACCUGAGAUGGACAUGUUGGUUACACCAAGACGCAUAAAAGUUGUUCGAGGAUGGCCUCUUAAACUGAGGAAGACGAAAGGAACUUCAGGGGUUGGCAAAAGCAUACAAUUUUCGAGACUCUAGCAUAUAUUAUACUAUUAACAGUGACGUUUACGAACAAUUUUGGAAAAAGAAAUUAUCUUUAAAAAACUUAUGUUCGACAUUUUGUGUGCUGGAUAUUUUAUUUACAUUAUGCCUGGUAGCAGAAGUAACAGAAUAUUAAAAGGAAUUGUAAGAAAAAAGUUGGUGAAACCUUGGCAUUCACAUACACCUCAUGCUCACAAGUUAACUUACUUUUGCCCCGUUAAGCAUCUGGCGCAGUUGGUCGUUUCUUUGCUGUGAGAUCUUUCUAGAAGUUAGAAGAAACACUUAUUCUAAAAUGCGCCCAUUUGAACUACGUUGUAUUUAUACAAAGCAGCCUCUUCUACCAAUAUUGCUUGUGGCACAUUACAUUAUAUUUUUUAUCAUUGUAUCAGUAAAUACAACUUCAGUAAAAAACAUUGCCAAUAAAUUUUAGCAAGAUUUCCAAAUUGAGUCCCAAAGAAAAAUGUGUUAAGAACCACUAAAUACAUGACCACAAGCUCCACCUUUCAACUUGUAAAUUUAAUUCUUCUUGAAACUUUUUGGCAAGUCUUUGUGUGGUUGAAUCUUUCCAUUCAUUCAUUGUUUUUUGAAGAUGUUGCAAUUCAUUAUCCUUGUCCGUUAACUUUGUUCUGGAAUAAAAAAUUGUCGUAAAUACAACAUAUUUG